AAAUAACGACGUAGCAUCGCGUCUCCUCAAACCGAAGCUCACAGUGGCGGUAAGAAGUACAGCUGCUCGGGUGUGCUGUGCCAGUGAUAGAUUUUCUUUCCGUUCUCAAAAGCUGGAUGGAGGCACAGCCGCAGUACUUACGCGCAAGCGACUAUGAGAGUUUUGCAGCUGGCGCAGAUGCUCGUUGGACGCACAUCCAGUCGUUUCGUCUCGCAGGCUGCACUCGUCGGAAACGUCGAGGUGUCACGAGGAAGCCACGGAAUGAGACUCUCAUAUUGAAGAGAACUGCUGAAUGGUACAAAUAGACAAGUGACAGUCUACUCCAAGUGGAUGCUUAUGAGGUCACUGAACAUUCACUUUUUCGUAGCCCUUCAAACUGCUAAAGGUGCGCAAAAGAAUUCUGUGUACUGACGGGAGGUCCUCUUAACCAAGGCAUAUGGCUGAAAGGUGUACGCACCUUGCAAAUGGCUCGCGCAAUGUCUGGACUGCCCAUCACGUUUCGUUGACCAUGUGGAUUUACUGCGAUUAUCGCGUGCAGAAACGGGAUUAUUUGCUUGAGAGCCUGCGGGGGAACGGGAGAGUAGUCCUCUGUCGCGAUUCUCGUUUCUCGGGGCAGAGCGACCAUCAGCAGUAUUCGCUGGACAAAAGCGAUACUCCGGGUAGUUUGAGCAGAAAUCCGUUGUUCCCUUUUCAUACCGUCAAAAGCUGUACAGAACUUGGUACAAAGAAGUACCAGCGAAUGCGGUAUUUCUGAACCAACCCGGACGCAAAACAAGUUGUCACACCACAACUGUUGUUUAGCAUCAGAUUCGAACUGUACAUUGACCGUUCAACACAGGCCUCGCUUCCCCGCCACGCCAUGGCAUCUGUGCCUCAGUUUGUCCGAUACAUUUUGUUCAUAUUGCGACUUCGCGUAAUUAAAGAGCUUCUGGAUGGAAGAUACUGUCAACGCGUUAACUGUGGCCCAGCGUUCGAAAUUUUGCAAGGAAAUGCCCAUCGUGGGGAUGCUUCCGACGUUCAACCCUUCCUCGAACGCUGCUUAUGUUGUUCCGCUAAAGACUAUUGAUAUGACGUAUGUGAUAUUGAGGUGAUCGGGUAGGCUCCC
rnacentral:lncRNA from 1 species